UGCAUUCAAGUGAAAAGGGCCUUCCUCCAUGUGUGAAAAUGCUCAGGUGUGAACAGAACUCCCAAGUCUCAAGGAGGAAAGAAACUACUUCUCAAGUUCAGCAGUGAAAAUCCUAAAGCCCUAGGCAAGGAACCACAGGCAGCUAAGGAAUGCUGAGAAUAGGAAGAACUCGUCCAUCCAAUUGGUCAUAUCCGAAAUCAUAUACAUAUGGGUAACAUUUGAACAGAUCAUGGUUCCUUCGUUGCUGCUGCUUGCACUACCAUGGCCGGUGCGUCCAGGACCACUCCAGAGGUGCUGGGAGCUGCUACAACGGCAAGUGCAGCAGAGCUGCAGUUGCUUUGCCAGUCCUCCGUGGGCACCAGCAUUAGCAGUCCAGAGUCCAUCCGUCCUCACAGAAGUAGCACAUGAUACCAGUGAAAAUAAAGAGAAUUCCAGCUUUUUAGAUAGUAUCUUUUGGAUGGCAGCUCCCCAAAACAGACACACCAUCGAAGUUAACCGAUGUAGGAGAGGAAACCCUCAAAAGCUUAUUAAAAUUAAGAACAAUAUAGACAUUUGCCCUGAAUGUGGUUACCUGAAGCAGAAACAUGUCCUUUGUGACUACUGCUAUGAGAAAGUACGCCAGGAGACGACAAAAAUCAGACAACAAAUAGGGGCUCAAGAAGGAGGUCCUUUCGAAGCUCUUCCGUUGAGACUAUGGUACUGUACACAGGAGAGAAACCAUAAGAAAAGGAUCAGGGCAAGAGGACUGUUGAAAGAAACAUAAAGAGGCCAUCUUGGUUCACCCAGAACUGAACUAAAAAAAUGUUAAAAAGAUAAUUUCAGAGUUAGGCACCUACUUAAAAUCAGGAGUCUUCAUUUUCAUGUUGUGCCUGUUUUCAAAUUAUCCAUGUAUUUUAAAAUGGAUUUUGUUAGUUGUUACUUUUAAAUGAGGUAAUUUGAAGUCUGUAUCAUGAAUAAACUCAGCAUGUUUAUGUAAAAAAA